rnacentral:rRNA from 1 species
GAUGAACGCUGGCGGCGUGCCUAACACAUGCAAGUCGAGCGGAAGGACGAGAAGCUUGCUUCUUUGAUGUUAGCGGCGGACGGGUGAGUAACACGUGGAUAACCUACCUCUAUUACUGGGAUAACUUCGGGAAACCGUAUCUAAUACCAGAUAAUAUUUUGAACCGCAUGGUUCAAAAGAGAUUGACGGUUUUGGUGUCAGUUAUAGAUGGAUCCGCGCUGCAUUAGCUAGUUGGUAAGGUAACGGCUUACCAAGGCAACGAUGCAUAGCCGACCUGAGAGGGUGAUCGGCCACACUGGAACUGAGACACGGUCCAGACUCCUACGGGAGGCAGCAGUAGGGAAUCUUCGGCAAUGGGCGAAAGCCUGACGGAGCAACGCCGCGUGAGUGAUGAAGGUCUUCGGAUCGUAAAACUCUGUUAUUAGGGAAGAACAUAUGUGUAAUUAACUGUGGACAUCUUGACGGUACCUAAACAGAAAGCCACGGCUAACUACGUG